rnacentral:rRNA from 1 species
CGCGUAGGCGGUUUGUUUAGUUAGGCGUGAAAUUCCUGGGCUUAACCUGGGGACUGCGCUUAAUACAGGCAGACUUGAGUUCGGAAGAGGGUCGUGGAAUUCCCAGUGUAGAGGUGAAAUUCGUAGAUAUUGGGAAGAACACUGGUGGCGAAGGCGGCGACCUGGUCCGAUACUGACGCUGAGGCGCGAAAGCGUGGGGAGCAAACA